GACAUCUCCAUCUCAGUUCGCGUAGCAGAAUUAGAUGUAGAUGAAAUGGAAAAAUAUAUGCUGAGUUGAUUUUGAGGGAUUCACAGAUAUCUUGCGAAAAUCCUCUAUAAAAUUAGAUAUCUUGGCUCAAGGAUGUUGUCGUGCUGCUAAUGUUGGACUAAUAGUGGAAAAGAUGCCAGAACUACAAGAAUGUAUUGAUGCGGAUUAAAUGGCGUCGAAUGCUCUCAAUUCUCACUAUGGCUACAACGAGUUACUGAUAAGUGUUUUGAUCCGUGAAUAAUAUCAUGAUAAAAUCAACACUUUGUUAAUCAAAUAGAGUAUCAUGGUGGAGGACUAAAGAAGUAUUAUGGUCAGAUAUUAAUCAUCUUUUAUGGUAAGUUCAUAAAUUUCCUUCCCUUAAUUAGUUUUGAUAUACAUUGGAUUAA